GGCGGAGAAAGCACGUGGUCCUCCUGCAUUUUACUGUGACCUUCUUUAAGGCAGAUACAGGAUCCACCAGAAUGGCAAAGAGCUGACCAGCCCAGUGAUAAUCAUCAGCAGCCUUGAGCGUAGUCAGCUUCAAAAGAAGCUGUCUUGCAUACUCGUCUUGAAUCUCUUUUUACCGAGUGCUCCUCUGAUAUUUCUAUCUUGUGAGGCAGACGGCCUUCAAAAGUGUAAGUAAAUAAAUUCACCUUGUCUUGCGAAAACUGUUGUUCCCGCUCCCCCUCCCCUCCCCCUACUCUCUCUCUAUAUUUUCUCCACAGAAAAAUACGUGCAACAUGCUAUGAUUAUAGCAGAACACAAGU